UACGAAGGGGGCUAGCGUUGCUCGGAAUCACUGGGCUUAAAGGGCGCGUAGGCGGGCAAGCAAGUCGAAGGUGAAAUCCCACGGCUCAACCGUGGAAGUGCCCCCGAUACUGCUUGUCUUGAGGGAGAUAGGGGCGUGCGGAACUUCCGGUGGAGCGGUGAAAUGCGUAGAUAUCGGAAGGAACACCGGUGGCGAAAGCGGCGCGCUGGGUCUCUUCUGACGCUGAGGCGCGAAAGCCAGGGGAGCAAACGGG
rnacentral:rRNA from 1 species